rnacentral:rRNA from 1 species
AGCCAGACUCCUACGGGAGGCAGCAGUGGGGAAUAUUGCACAAUGGGGGAAACCCUGAUGCAGCGACGCCGCGUGAGUGAAGAAGUAAUUCGUUAUGUAAAGCUCUAUCAGCAGGGAAGAAAAAAGACGGUACCUGACUAAGAAGCCCCGGCUAACUACGUGCCAGCAGCCGCGGUAAUACGUAGGGGGCAAGCGUUAUCCGGAUUCACUGGGUGUAAAGGGAGCGUAGACGGCCAUGCAAGCCUGGAGUGAAAGCCCGGGGCCCAACCCCGGGACUGCUCUGGGAACUGUGCGGCUGGAGUGCGGGAGGGGCAGGCGGAAUUCCUGGUGUAGCGGUGAAAUGCGUAGAUAUCAGGAGGAACACCGGCGGCGAAGGCGGCCUGCUGGACCGCGACUGACGUUGAGGCUCGAAAGCGUGGGGAGCAAACAGGAUUAGAUACCCCGGUAAC